GACGAACGCUGGCGGCGUGCUUAACACAUGCAAGUCGAACGGUAAGGCCCUUCGGGGUACACGAGUGGCGAACGGGUGAGUAACACGUGGGUGAUCUGCCCUGCACUUCGGGAUAAGCCUGGGAAACUGGGUCUAAUACCGGAUAGGACCACUGCCUGCAUGGGUGGUGGUGGAAAGCUUUUGCGGUGUGGGAUGGGCCCGCGGCCUAUCAGCUCGUUGGUGGGGUGAUGGCCUACCAAGGCGACGACGGGUAGCCGGCCGGAGAGGGUGACCGGCCACACUGGGACUGAGAUACGGCCCAGACUCCUACGGGAGGCAGCAGUGGGGAAUAUUGCACAAUGGGCGCAAGCCUGAUGCAGCGACGCCGCGUGAGGGAUGACGGCCUUCGGGUUGUAAACCUCUUUCAGCACCGACGAAGCGCAAGUGACGGUAGGUGCAGAAGAAGGACCGGCCAACUACGUGCCAGCCGCCGCAGUAACAC
rnacentral:rRNA from 1 species